GGUAAAUACCAAAACCAGACACAAAACUCUCUUUACCAGUGAAACUUGAGAUGCUGGGUGACAAUAUGAGCCACAUGUCAUCACUUUUGACUUAGGGCGCAGUGAGGGAAAGAAGA